rnacentral:rRNA from 1 species
GAUUUCUGGUUGGAUGCGCCUGGCCCGCCACGGUUUCGUGUGUGAGUGCCGGUAGUGUGUCUGCCAUCCUUCUAGUACGUACUCGAUUCUUCACUGAGUCGAUGCUACGCUGCUAGAUCGUUUACUUUGAAAAAAUUAGAGUGUUUAAAGCAGGCAUGCCGCUAUGAAUACAUUAGCAUGGAAUAAUAAUUUAGGACUUCGGUUCUAUUUUGUUGGUUUCUAUAACUGAAGUAAUGAUUGAUAGGGAUAGUUGGGGGUGCUAGUAUUGGCCGGCCAGAGGUGAAAUUCUUGGAUUCGGUCAAGACUAACUUAUGCGAAAGCAUU